rnacentral:rRNA from 1 species
AUGGACAGCCAUAAUUCUACACUGCUCCAUGUUCCUGAAGUAACCAUGGACAUCUCAUCCGCUUCUGGAGCAGCUGGGAACAAAGUUUGCAGAGGUGCUGCUUGCGACUUUUCUGAUGCCAGUAACACCUCGAAAGAUUCAAAGGAGAGGUCUGCAUCCAUGAAGAAGCUCCUAAUUGCUGUGAUCCUUUGUGUUAUAUUCAUGGCGGUUGAAGUGGUUGGAGGCAUCAAAGCAAACAGUCUUGCAAUCUUGACUGAUGCUGCCCAUCUCCUUUCGGAUGUUGCAGCCUUUGCCAUAUCUUUGUUCUCCCUAUGGGCAGCUGGUUGGGAAGCGACACCUCAGCAGUCAUAUGGAUUUUUCCGUAUAGAGAUUCUUGGGGCAUUGGUUUCCAUUCAGCUUAUAUGGCUCCUUGCUGGCAUACUUGUCUACGAAGCUAUUAUGAGGCUCAUUAAUGAAAGCGGCGAGGUACAGGGCUCCCUCAUGUUUGCUGUAUCAGCUUUUGGUUUGUUUGUUAACAUCAUAAUGGCAGUGUUGCUUGGUCAUGACCAUGGGCACGGUGGACAUGGGCACAGCCAUGGACAUUCACAUGACCACGAUCAUGGUAACUCAGAGGAUGACCAUUCCCAUCAUGGAGAUCAUGAGCAGGGCCAUGUACAUCACCAUGAGCACAGCCAUGGUACUUCUAUUACCGUUACAACUAAUCAUCACUCUCAUUCGAGCACUGGACAACAUCAGGAUGUUGAGCAACCAUUGCUUAAACAUGAUGGUGAUUGUGAGAGUGCCCAGCCUGGAGCCAAGCCUGCUAAGAAGCCUCGUCGCAAUAUCAAUGUUCACAGUGCCUAUCUGCACGUAAUUGGGGACUCCAUCCAGAGCAUUGGCGUAAUGAUUGGAGGGGCUCUCAUCUGGUACAAGCCCGAAUGGAAGAUUAUUGAUCUCAUAUGCACCCUCAUCUUCUCUGUGAUUGUACUGUUCACCACAAUCAAGAUGAUCCGGAACAUACUUGAGGUCCUUAUGGAGAGCACGCCCCGCGAGAUUGAUGCCACCAGGCUUGAGAGUGGUCUCCGUAAGAUGGAAGGUGUGAUUGCUGUCCAUGAGCUGCACAUCUGGGCUAUCACAGUGGGGAAGGUGCUCUUGGCAUGCCAUGUGACGAUCACGCAGGAUGCGGAUGCUGAUAAAAUGCUUGACAAGGUCAUUGGGUACAUCAAGGCAGAGUACAACAUCAGUCAUGUGACCAUUCAGAUUGAGCGAGAGUAA